AGAAAGAGACAAAAAACAAAUGAAGGAGGAAAAGGCGCUCACACUCCUCCGAGCGCGCACGCCCUCGCGCGCGGAGCUCCUGCGCAUGCUCGGAGCUCUUGCGCAUGCGCGGCGGUGCGCCGUCUCAACGAGUGCGCCAGGCACGUAAACGGUUGUACCGAUGUGCGGUGUCUGCCUGAACGUUGGUGUCUGUGUAUGCGUGUCUUCUUUGUGGCAUCACACGUCAACUACACUGAACGCAUACACCUGCAGCACCUUUGGGACUAAUGACACAAAGGUCAAGGCCAGCCUGGCGACCAUGCUUGCCAAGGAGUAGUAUAAAUAUUUAAUCUGUUUCCAUAAUAGCAUAAGACAUGAAUUUAAGGAAUUCAUCUAUUAUAUCGAGCAAUAAAAACGGUUAAUGCA
rnacentral:lncRNA from 1 species